CCUACGGGUGGCAGCAGUGGGGAAUAUUGCACAAUGGGGGAAACCCUGAUGCAGCGACGCCGCGUGAGUGAAGAAGUAUCUCGGUAUGUAAAGCUCUUUUAGCAGGGAAGAAAAUGACGGUACCUGACUAAGAAGCCCCGGCUAACUACGUGCCAGCAGCCGCGGUAAUACGUAGGGGGCAAGCGUUAUCCGGCUUUACUGGGUGUAAAGGGCGCGUAGACGGCACAGCAAGUCCAGAGUGAAAGCCCAUGGCUUAACCAUGGUACUGCUCUGGAAACUGUGGCGCUUGAGUGCGGGAGGGGCAGGCGGAAUUCCUGGUGUAGCGGUGAAAUGCGUAGAUAUUAGGAGGAACACCGAGGGCGAAGGCGGACUGCUGGACCGUAACUGACGUUGAGGCUCGAAAGCGUGGGGAGCAAACAGGAUUAGAUACCCGUGUAGUC
rnacentral:rRNA from 1 species